rnacentral:rRNA from 1 species
UACGGGGGGGGCAAGCGUUGUUCGGAAUUAUUGGGCGUAAAGCGCGUGUAGGCGGCUUGGCAAGUCGGGUGUGAAAUCCCUCAGCUUAACUGAGGAAGUGCGCCCGAAACUGCUUUGCUUGAGUGCCGGAGAGGAUGGCGGAAUUCCCCAAGUAGAGGUGAAAUUCGUAGAUAUGGGGAGGAACACCGGUGGCGAAGGCGGCCAUCUGGACGGUAACUGACGCUGAGACGCGAAAGCGUGGGGAGCAAACAGG